CCCAAAUCACGCCGACAACAAAAUCCCCUUCUCUACUGUACUGUUCUCUCUACACGGCUGUGAUUUGGGUACGGUGGGCAAGGGAGAUCAUGGGAGGACGCAGCGGGCUGCUCGACCUCGUCAUGGCCGGCGCUGCCGUGGCGACGGUGCUGGAGGUUGGAGGCGUGGAGGCGGAGGAGGCAGUGACUGAGCUGACGAAGGGUACGCUGGUUCACGUAUUUCCCGGCGAAUUGGUGUGUGCUGCAGCGUCUUCCAAGCCAUUUCUGAUCGAGGAGGGGACCACUCUUUCGAGCAGCUGUUCUUGCGCUGUCCACCAACGAGAUCGCAUCUCACUGUCGCUGAUCUGGAAAGGCAGAUGUCGGUCGCCGGGGAGAUCAUGGGUGCAGGCAGUGAACUUUGGCGUUGAGUAGAACGGCCUGUCGUUCCUUGUCGCUUAUAGGAAGAGGAAGAGCAACAGCAUUUCCUUGGAUUUCUGCUGGAUCCACUGGAGAUUUGGAGCCAAGAAGGAUAUGUGGUGGCUAUAAUAAGCACUGGCGCGACUACACGGAGAAGCUGGCACUCGCGACCUGCGAAGCAGUACGCGAGGUGAACCGAGUAUCCUAGAGCCAGCAACCUGUGUGGAGCAGCGCAGCACACCAGGCAAAGCUGGAUGCCGCAAGUAGCAGUGCGGGGAGGAAAUUUUUAUAUCAAUACCUUUGGUCUCAAUUUCCCAGGGAGCAACUCACAUAAGUUGUACGGGUCCUGGAGGCUUGUACGUUAUCAUAUCUUAGAAGAGUUCUGAUGCAUUACCUGAUCUGGUGGGUUGUCAUUCCUAAUUCCAGGUGUUCGCAAGGAAGUUCCGAAGACAGCAUGGGAUGUGAAGAUUUGAGCAGACAUUAAGCAGUUAUAUUACCCAAAGUUGAUGGUGUUUCUGUCGUUCCUUCUUCGGGGCCUUCGAUGUGCUGGGCGUUCUGCCGUCCCCUUCGGUACGCAAGGCAUCCUACCCACCUUACUGGUCCAACUGAUCGUCCUCGGCGCGUGUGGAUGUUGUUGUGUCGAUCUGCCUUCAAUCUGCUGUACUCGUGUUGUGAUGUGUGACGGCGUGUGUUGAUUCCCUAGGUGUACCAUCUUGUAUGAUUCUCUCUUGUGGGUGUGGCUUAUGUUAGUCCAAAGAUUACCGAGUUUGCAUUAACUACGGAUGAGUGUAUUGCGUUAGGAAACCAAUUCA